AUCUUAUCAAGAGAGGUAGAGGGACUGGCCCAAUGAUGCCCGGCAACCUGAAUAUAUGUUUAUUGUAUUCAAUGGUGCCAAUUCCAGCAGUUGAAAUCUGAGAGAUGAGAA
rfam:Clostridium tyrobutyricum DIVETGP, WGS project CBXI01000000 data, contig: NODE_36